rnacentral:rRNA from 1 species
AUUGAACGCUGGCGGCAUGCUUUACACAUGCAAGUCGAACGGCAGCACAGGGAGCUUGCUCCCGGGUGGCGAGUGGCGCACGGGUGAGUAAUACAUCGGAACGUGUCCUGUUGUGGGGGAUAACUGCUCGAAAGGGUGGCUAAUACCGCAUGAGACCUGAGGGUGAAAGCGGGGGAUCGCAAGACCUCGCGCAAUUGGAGCGGCCGAUGCCCGAUUAGCUAGUUGGUGAGGUAAAGGGCUCACCAAGGCGACGAUCGGUAGCUGGUCUGAGAGGACGACCAGCCACACUGGGACUGAGACACGGCCCAGACUCCUACGGAGGCAGCAGUGGGGAAUUUUGGCACAAUGGGGGAAACCCUGAUGCAGCGACGCCGCGUGGAGGAAGAAGGUCUUCGGAUUGUAAACUCCUAGUUGUUGAGGAAGGAUAAUGACGGUACUCAACAAGGAAGUG